UAGACCUUUCAAACAGGAUUUAGGGUUAUUGUUUCAGUAUGUGCUCCUCAGGCUCCAGGAGAAAGUCCCCAGACCUGCAGCUGCAACAGCUAGCUGUUGAGAUUGUUUUCUCAGAAUGCUUAGGUACCAUCAUUGGGAAGAGGAAUGGAUCCAGGCUCAGCAGUCUAGAGAAACAAAGGUCUCAAGAGCUGAAGAUCUGAUACAUGAUUGAUCCAGCAAAGAUAAGGCACAGAAUGGUUAUCAACACUCCUAUGGUUAAACUCUUAUUAUCUGCAACAAAACACAUUGAGUUAACUUCUAUCAAGAACUAUCUUUACUGGAAUGUGUUGUGUAUAUGGAGGAGGACAUUGCUGCCUGGCCUGGGUUUCUAACUGCAAUGCAGUGAGCUGCUAAACUUGACCAUGUAUCUUGAAAAUAAAGGCAGGCAAAGAAAGGCAAAGAAAAGAACCCGCCAGGACCACUGUGCCUUCAGUUAUGCAAGAAAAUUGAUGCACUCAGCCUGCGUUGGUUUUACUUCACUAAAUUUUCAGGAACAAGAGUCUCUCUACGCUCUUAAGGCUGUAAAACUUUGUCAGCCCACUUGAACACUCCUAUCCAGCAAGGGCUUGCACUAGGCUGCAUACUGAUUUUUCCACUGCUCAGGUCCGCCAGCUCUAAGAUGAACCAGUUGCUGGAAGAACACGCGAAACUGGAAUCAGGGCUGAGGAAACCCUCCCUUUGAUAUCACACCUGCACUGUCUAUAAAGAUCCAGCCCUCAGUGUUCUGGUGGUUUUAAUCUGAGUUAAGGAACAACUAGCAAGACCUGAUUUACCAAAUGCUCCCUGCAGAACAAGAGAGAUCCAAAGAACUGGAGCCCAUCGUUAACACCAGCCUGUUCCCGCUGCGCAGAGCAGAAGGAGCCGGUAGACUCGUGGCUCUUUCUUCGGGAGGUCUCUCAGUCCCAAACACCCAUUAAAAAAAAGGCUGCUUUUUAUUCCCUUUUGCUACCACCCAAGCAGUGGCUACAUGUCUAAUACAGAGGGUAAA